rnacentral:rRNA from 1 species
CAAUAUGAAGGCCAGGCUGAAGACUUUGCCGGAUUAGCUGAGAGGUGGUGCAUGGCCGUCGUCAGUUCGUACUGUGAAGCAUCCUGUUAAGUCAGGCAACGAGCGAGACCCACGCCCACAGUUGCCAGCGUACUCUCCGGAGUGACGGGUACACUGUGGGACCGCCGCUGCUAAAGCGGAGGAAGGAAUGGGCAACGGUAGGUCAGUAUGCCCCGAAUAUCCCGGGCUACACGCGAGCUACAAUGGUUGGUACAAUGGGUAUCUACCCCGAAAGGGGACGGGAAUCUCCUAAAACCAAUCUUAGUUCGGAUUGAGGGCUGCAACUCGCCCUCAUGAAGCUGGAAUCCGUAGUAAUCGCGUUUCAACAGAACGCGGUGAAUACGCCCCUGCUCCUU